rnacentral:rRNA from 1 species
CAUAACGAGGGCUUGACUGUCUCCUCUUUCAAGUCAGUGAAAUUGAUCUCCCCGUGCAGAAGCGGGGAUGAAAACAUAAGACGAGAAGACCCUAUGGAGCUUCAGACACUAAAGCAGCUCAACAUUAAUACCCUGAAUAUAGGACACGAAUAUAUUGAAUCCUGCCCUAAUGUCUUAGGUUGGGGCGACCGCGGAGAAACAAAAAACCCCCGCAAGGACCGAAUGCACCGCAUUCAC